ensembl:lncRNA
UUAACUUUGAGCCAAAGGGCAAUGUACAGAUUCGACUGACAGCAAGACAUAAGGUUUUAUUCCUCUCUUCGAUCAGCAAAGCGCAUAACAACGUAGGCUUCUGUCAUAUCUUAAUUGCAAUUUAAAUUCAUAAUAAUCUUUAAACACAAAUGGUCAAAAGUGUGUAUUUUAAAUGUCUGUGAUUGUUUUCGUGAUUUUUGGCCAUUUCAGAUGUACAAUUCGUGCGGUCUCCUUUUCCUUUCAUUUGGAUUUACCAUGCUGGAGUUCAUCACCUGUGACAGCGAUGGAUCUUUAUUGGCGGGUGAAUGUCAAAGAAUGGAUAUCAAUCAUGGUAAACCAGCACAAAACGGUGAAGCCCCCUUCAAGAUCGAACCAGAAUAUAAAGAAGUGACAGAUUCUGAACUGGGAAAGAACAUUAUUGUCUCGCUUAGGGCUUCGGCUCAAUUUAAAGGUUUCAUGUUGGACGCUCGUAAGUGUGAUGAGUGUGCGUCUGCUGGCAGGUUUCAUUUAAUCCAGACUGAACCGGACAACAGCAUACUCAUCUGUGAUGACCGUGUUGUGGCUCAAAGUAAUAACCAAAGAAAAACGAUAGUUAAUGUGUUGUGGAUCCCCGAAGAGACUGGAGUGUUUUUCUUCAGAGCUGCUUUCGUUGAAGAUUUCAGUAUUUUUUGGCUAAGGAAGCCGAUCAUACUCACGACGACUGCAUCACCCACCACUGAAUCCACCAGUCACAGUACACAAACAAGUCCAACAGAUAUGUCACAGACACAGACUGCAUCACUGACCUCUGAAGCCACAAUUGCACUAGCAUCGCCGCCUCAGUGUCUACAAUAUAUGAGAUAUGCUUUAGCACUGUUAUUAUUCAGUCGACUGUGUUUUCUUGGAGGCUCUUCUCUCCUGAUGAUUUUCAGACCAGCGUCAAAAAUGGCCACCAUGAUUGCGUCUGUCUUUGAACCAGCCUCCAAAACUAUUGCUGUCAUCUUCGUACUAAUAAAACUAAUUAAAUAUGAGUGUGCGUGUGAGUGUGAUAGUUUGCAGAUUGUGUUUAGUGCUUUGACAGUGGCUGCCAUGGUUUCAAGCCUGCUGCACACUCUCACCGUUUUCCUUUACUGUGGACCAAGCCAUGAAUUAAGGAAGUGUUGGCUCUGUGCCAUUAUAAUUGUUGGCCUAAUGAAUACUAUCAUUACAACAACUGCAAUAUUCUUUGAAAUAUGGUGCUUUCAAGAGCGCUGGCUGCCAUUAUUAAUGGGAGUUUUUGUUGUUUGGGAGUUCAUGCUUUAUCUUGGCUCAGUUUGCUGUGAACAGAUGGAAAAAUACAGGUCAAGAAGUAAGUAUUCUUGGUACCAACCAACUCAAGGCACUAGUGAGAUUAACACACAAACCUCAUAAAUAAACUUUAUGGACUUUUAAAGAAUUCAUGUGUUAUUAGUCACACCCAGGCACAGUUGUGUGUACUUCCUUAUGCAUGAUAUCCACAGUAAAAAACGAUCCAUAUAGAUCCAUAUCGCAAUCUAUUUUAAUAAUGUCCAUACAGUCUCAUUUGUUUGCAUUUGUAUGUCUGCAGAAAAUCAGAAUCGUACUGCGGAAAAGAGGGUAAGUGAACUUUACAUUUUCUUGUCGUAUAUAUUAUAUUUGUGUACAUAGAGCCAUUCCAUGUUCAUGUAAACUGCUUAUUAUUACACAUGUAUUUGACUAAAACAUAAACUUUACAGAGUAUAGCAGCUCCACAAAUAUUUUAUGGCACCAGACCAUCAACAUCUUAGGAACUCACUAAAAUAACAAUGCAUGCACACUGAUAUUAUUAUCUUAAAUGUUACACAUUAAACCUCUUUUUUAUUUUCAGAUAUCCCCAUGGUUGUUUAUGUUCAUCAUCUUUUCAGUGUUUAAUGCAAUGUUUACAGCUGCACUCAUAACAGGAGUGUCUUUGGUCAAAACGAAAAAUAGUUGAAGGAACGUCUGCAGAUUAGUGAAUAUGAUAUCUUGGUAUGUUUGCAAUUUGGGUGUAACUUUUUACAGCCCUAGUACAUCAGUAAUUGUUCAAAGGUAUAUGAAUAACAACUUUAUUGGAGUCAGAUUAAUUGUACUGAUGUCAGAUAAAUAGCUGAAUUAUCAUCUUUCAACUGCUUUUAUAUAUAUAUAUGUAUAUGUAUAUAUAUAUAUAUAUAUAUAUGUAUAUGUAUGUGUAUGUAUAUAUAUAUAUAUAUAUAAUUCAACUGCUGUUCACACUAAGAAUGAUGAUAACUAUAACAAUAAAGUUUUAAUUAUUGUUCUAAUUGUAUGAGAA